rnacentral:rRNA from 1 species
CAGACGGGUGAGUAACGCGUGGGAACGUACCUUUUGGUUCGGAACAACACAGGGAAACUUGUGCUAAUACCGGAUAAGCCCUUACGGGGAAAGAUUUAUCGCCGAAAGAUCGGCCCGCGUCUGAUUAGCUAGUUGGUGAGGUAAUGGCUCACCAAGGCGACGAUCAGUAGCUGGUCUGAGAGGAUGAUCAGCCACAUUGGGACUGAGACACGGCCCAAACUCCUACGGGAGGCAGCAGUGGGGAAUAUUGGACAAUGGGCGCAAGCCUGAUCCAGCCAUGCCGCGUGAGUGAUGAAGGCCCUAGGGUUGUAAAGCUCUUUUGUGCGGGAAGAUAAUGACGGUACCGCAAGAAUAAGCCCCGGCUAACUUCGUGCCAGCAGCCGCGGUAAUACGAAGGGGGCUAGCGUUGCUCGGAAUCACUGGGCGUAAAGGGUGCGUAGGCGGGUUUCUAAGUCAGAGGUGAAAGCCUGGAGCUCAACUCCAGAACUGCCUUUGAUACUGGAAGUCUUGAGUUCGGGAGAGGUGAGUGGAACUGCGAGUGUAGAGGUGAAAUUCGUAGAUAUUCGCAAGAACACCAGUGGCGAAGGCGGCUCACUGGCCCGAUACUGACGCUGAGGCACGAAAGCGUGGGGAGCAAACAGGAUUAGAUACCCGGGUAGUCCACGCCGUAACGAUGAAUGCCAGCCGUUAGUGGGUUUACUCACCAGUGGCGCAGCUAACGCUUUAAGCAUUCCGCCUGGGGAGUACGGUCGCAAGAUUAAAACUCAAAGGAAUUGACGGGGGCCCGCACAAGCGGUGGAGCAUGUGGUUUAAUUCGACGCAACGCGCAGAACCUUACCAGCCCUUGACAUGUCCAGGACCG